UCCGGUUUGGCACCGGCAGUCUCCCUAGAGUUCCCGGCAUGAUCCGCUAGCCCUAUAACGACACGGGCUUUCACCCGCUUUAACUAGCAUGUCAAGCCUAGGUAAGGUUCUUCGCGUUGCAUCGAAUUAAGCCACAUGCUCCGCCGCUUGUGCGGGCCCCCGUCAAUUCCUUUGAGUUUUAGCCUUGCGGCCGUACUCCCCAGGCGGAACACUUAUCGCGUUGGCUUCGGCACAGACAGAUUCGACUCCGCCCACACCUAGUGUUCAUCGUUUACGGCGUGGACUAC
rnacentral:misc_RNA from 1 species